rnacentral:sRNA from 1 species
CCUGUUUCUCCUCUUGACAUAUCUUCUCUUGUCAAAAAAUUCUCCCUCUAUUUCUCGUUUUGUCCGUCGCUCGUCCUAAACCCUCCACCCACCUUUCGGUGACGGAAGAGCUGAGUCUUCACACAAAGCAUCCGCCACACCGAACUAGGAGUUGCUCCGUUCCAUAUUGUCAGAAUCUCGUUUUGCAGCGCACUCAUUGUGGGGACUCUGAAGGAUGACGGCGACAAAACAAGCUAGAGCAGCAGGGUUUUUACCUCAGAUGCUCCUUUUGGCACUUCAGGGAAUACUUAACCGGUCCAUUUCUUCCACAUAGGGCUCACUGAUCCCCCUUCCUCCCUGUAUUUUGCCUGAUCCGGAGAUCUUGUCUUGCAUUGGUGCGGAUGAGCUUGCAGUUGUGAACUGAUUUCUACAGCCCUGUGUUUGAUCUUUCGACCGCUAGUACUACCCGGUUAAUUAGACUCUAUGAACCACCUUUAUUCCUACCGAUACUUUUUUUUGUACUCUUUAUCUCUGAACCCUCCACGGAGAAUCUUUUCCAAACUCAAAGAACGCAGAGGUAUCGAAAACUGUCAUCUAUCGGAAACACUACUGGCAUUGAUUGCAGGGAGGCCUGUCUGAGAUCAUUGCUCUGGAGCUGCUUUCAUGCCAUUCUCUUUGCCUGACUUCCCUUGAGCUGGGAAAUAAUUUAGCUAAACAUCGAGCGGUCCUGCACCCGAGGCCAAAGCAUCAGAUUGCUGUAGCUUCGCAGAAGUCCCGUCAAACUGCGAAACAAAUCAACGCAUCAAUCAUUUCAAACACUGCUUAUACAGUACAUGUUAGGACCGAAAUUCGUCCUCGACAUCCUUCUAUGGACAAGAUUUUCUUUUCAAAUCGUUUCCUUCAAAAACCCAUAGGUCCUUCCGCAUCCUGCCACAAUCUGACUUUGCCAAGAUUAAACAAAUGAACAUUUCCUUUUGCCGCCGAAGACAACGUUAUCGAAGUGGGCCAUGGCCAUGCACAAGACGAAUAACUCCUUUAAAUUCCAGUCUUGGGUGCCUAAAUGCAUAAUGCUGAUAUUAUUAAGCGUCCCUUGCUUCGGAUUGUUAUAUCUGCUGAUAUCCCUUGAGGAGUUUCGGGCACAAACAAACAGGGUGUUUAAAUUCCCUUCCACAUUUAAAACGCAGCCAAACGCAAG